AGAGUUUGAUCCUGGCUCAGGACGAACGCUGGCGGCGUGCCUAACACAUGCAAGUCGAACGAGAAUCUUAUGUGUGAUCCUCGGGUGAACUUUUAAGAGGAAAGUGGCGGACGGGCGAGUAACGCGUGAGUAACCUGCCCAUAAGAGGGGGAUAAUCCAUGGAAACGUGGACUAAUACCGCAUAUUGAAUAUUUACCGCAUGGUAGAUAUUUGAAAGAUUUAUCGCUUAUGGAUGGACUCGCGUCAGAUUAGCUGGUUGGUGAGGUAACGGCUCACCAAGGCGACGAUCUGUAGCCGAACUGAGAGGUUGAUCGGCCGCAUUGGGACUGAGACACGGCCCAGACUCCUACGGGAGGCAGCAGUGGGGAAUAUUGCGCAAUGGGGGGAACCCUGACGCAGCAACGCCGCGUGCAGGAAGAAGGUCUUCGGAUUGUAAACUGUUGUCGCAGGGGAAGAAGACAGUGACGGUACCCUGUGAGAAAGUCACGGCUAACUACGUG
rnacentral:rRNA from 1 species